rnacentral:rRNA from 1 species
UACGUAGGGGGCAAGCGUUGUCCGGAAUCAUUGGGCGUAAAGCGCGUGUAGGCGGCUUCGUCAGUCCGUUGUGAAAGUCCAGGGCUCAACCCUGGAAUGCCGAUGGAUACUGCGGAGCUAGAGUCCGGAAGAGGCGAGUGGAAUUCCUGGUGUAGCGGUGGAAUGCGCAGAUAUCAGGAGGAACACCAACAGCGAAGGCAGCACUCUGGGCCGGUACUGACGCUGAGGAGCGAAAGCAUGGGGAGCGAACAGG